UCAAAAACAUUUUCAUAUGUUCGCGAUAUUUAUGAUAAUCCCUGCCCACUGGCUAAUCCUAACGGCUGCGGUAUCCUGACCGUACUAAGGUAGCGUAAUCACUUGUCUAUUAAUUAUAGUCUAGAAUGAAUGGGUAAACGCACACUUAUCUAUAUCAGGCAAUAUCCUAAAAAUUUACCUUUAAGUGAAAAGGCUUAAAUUAUUAAGAAGGACAAGAAGACCCUAUAGAUCUUACUCCUUUAGAUUACCAAUAAAUCCAAAGAUUUUGGAUGGGGCGUCCCGAGAACUACCAAUCACCUCACUCUAACAUGAUACACUCAUCUUAAAAAUUAAACUUGGAUUUCUUCCAAAUAACGCAUAACUAAAGUUACCUUAGGGAUAACAGGCUUAUUCUUCUCUAGAGUUCAUAUUUACAGAAGAGUUUGGCACCUCGAUGUUGGCUUAGGAUUAAUGUCUGACGCAGCAGUCAAAAACACACAGAUAGUUCAACUGAUAAUAUCCUACGUGAUCUGAGUUCAAACCGGAG
rnacentral:rRNA from 1 species